rnacentral:rRNA from 1 species
GACGAACGCUGGCGGCGUGCUUAACACAUGCAAGUCGAACGGAAAGGCCCUGCUUUUGUGGGGUGCUCGAGUGGCGAACGGGUGAGUAACACGUGUGUAACCUGCCCUUGACUUUGGGAUAACUUCAGGAAACUGGGGCUAAUACCGGAUAGGAGCUCCUGCUGCAUGGUGGGGGUUGGAAAGUUUCGGCGGUUGGGGAUGGACUCGCGGCUUAUCAGCUUGAUGGUGGGGUAGUGGCUUACCAAGGCUUUGACGGGUAGCCGGCCUGAGAGGGUGACCGGCCAAAUUGGGACUGAGAUACGGCCCAGACUCCUACGGGAGGCAGCAGUGGAGAAUAUUGCACAAUGGGCGGAAGCCUGAUGCAGCAACGCCGCGUGCGGGAUGACGGCCUUCGGGUUGUAAACCGCUUUCGCCUGUGACGAAGCGUGAGUGACGGUAAUGGGUAAAGAAGCACCGGCUAACUACGUG